rnacentral:rRNA from 1 species
GGUGAACGCUGGCGGCGUGCCUAAUACAUGCAAGUCGAGCGAACAGACGAGGAGCUUGCUCCUCUGAUGUUAGCGGCGGACGGGUGAGUAACACGUGGAUAACCUACCUAUAAGACUGGGAUAACUUCGGGAAACCGGAGCUAAUACCGGAUAACAUGUUGAACCGCAUGGUUCAACAGUGAAAGACGGUCUUGCUGUCACUUAUAGAUGGAUCCGCGCCGCAUUAGCUAGUUGGUAAGGUAACGGCUUACCAAGGCAACGAUGCGUAGCCGACCUGAGAGGGUGAUCGGCCACACUGGAACUGAGACACGGUCCAGACUCCUACGGGAGGCAGCAGUAGGGAAUCUUCCGCAAUGGGCGAAAGCCUGACGGAGCAACGCCGCGUGAGUGAAGAAGGUCUUCGGAUCGUAAAACUCUGUUAUUAGGGAAGAACAAAUGUGUAAGUAACUAUGCACGUCUUGACGGUACCUAAUCAGAAAGCCACGGCUAACUACGUG